UUCUCACGGCAGGCCUACACAUGCAAGUCGAGCGGUAGAGAGAAGCUUGCUUCUCUUGAGAGCGGCGGACGGGUGAGUAAUGCCUAGGAAUCUGCCUGGUAGUGGGGGAUAACGUUCGGAAACGGACGCUAAUACCGCAUACGUCCUACGGGAGAAAGCAGGGGACCUUCGGGCCUUGCGCUAUCAGAUGAGCCUAGGUCGGAUUAGCUAGUUGGUGGGGUAAUGGCUCACCAAGGCGACGAUCCGUAACUGGUCUGAGAGGAUGAUCAGUCACACUGGAACUGAGACACGGUCCAGACUCCUACGGGAGGCAGCAGUGGGGAAUAUUGGACAAUGGGCGAAAGCCUGAUCCAGCCAUGCCGCGUGUGUGAAGAAGGUCUUCGGAUUGUAAAGCACUUUAAGUUGGGAGGAAGGGCAGUUACCUAAUACGUAAUUGUUUUGACGUUACCGACAGAAUAAGCACCGGCUAACUCUGUGCCAGCAGCCGCGGUAAUACAGAGGGUGCAAGCGUUAAUCGGAAUUACUGGGCGUAAAGCGCGCGUAGGUGGUUUGUUAAGUUGGAUGUGAAAUCCCCGGGCUCAACCUGGGAACUGCAUUCAAAACUGACUGACUAGAGUAUGGUAGAGGGUGGUGGAAUUUCCUGUGUAGCGGUGAAAUGCGUAGAUAUAGGAAGGAACACCAGUGGCGAAGGCGACCACCUGGACUAAUACUGACACUGAGGUGCGAAAGCGUGGGGAGCAAACAGGAUUAGAUACCCUGGUAGUCCACGCCGUAAACGAUGUCAACUAGCCGUUGGAAGCCUUGAGCUUUUAGUGGCGCAGCUAACGCAUUAAGUUGACCGCCUGGGGAGUACGGCCGCAAGGUUAAAACUCAAAUGAAUUGACGGGGCCCGCACAAGCGGUGGAGCAUGUGGUUUAAUUCUAAGCACGCGAAACCUUACCAGGCCUUGACAUCCAAUGAACUUUCUAGAGAUAGAUGGUGCCUUCGGGAACAUUGAGACAGGUGCUGCAUGCCUGUCGUCAGCUCGUGUCGUGACAUGUGGAUUAGUCCCGUAACGAGCGCCACCCCUUGUCCUUAUUACCACGCG
rnacentral:rRNA from 1 species